rnacentral:tRNA from 1 species
AAGCCUCGGCAGGUAAUUAGCCUGCUUCUUAAGAUUUGCAAUCUAACGUGUAAAAACACCUCAAGGCU